GAUGAACGCUGGCGGCGUGCCUAAUACAUGCCAGUCGAGCGAACAGACGAGGAGCUUGCUCCUCUGACGUUAGCGGCGGACGGGUGAGUAACACGUGGAUAACCUACCUAUAAGACUGGGAUAACUUCGGGAAACCGGAGCUAAUACCGGAUAAUAUAUUGAACCGCAUGGUUCAAUAGUGAAAGACGGUUUUGCUGUCACUUAUAGAUGGAUCCGCGCCGCAUCAGCUAGUUGGUAAGGUAACGGCUUACCAAGGCAACGAUGCGUAGCCGACCUGAGAGGGUGAUCGGCCACACUGGAACUGAGACACGGUCCAGACUCCUACGGGAGGCAGCAGUAGGGAAUCUUCCGCAAUGGGCGAAAGCCUGACGGAGCAACGCCGCGUGAGUGAUGAAGGUCUUCGGAUCGUAAAACUCUGUUAUUAGGGAAGAACAAAUGUGUAAGUAACUAUGCACGUCUUGACGGUACCUAAUCAGAAAGCCACGGCUAACUACGUG
rnacentral:rRNA from 1 species